CUCUUGGAGAGGCCCUGCAGCCAAAGCAGAGCCUAACGAAGAUAAUAACACGGAGAAAAAGAAAGAAAAAAAAAUACGAGAAAGAAAGAAAAAGUAGACAGUGCUGAAAUCAGAGGUGACCUCUCCUUUUGCCGACUCCUGCACUUCCCAGCCCCUCACCAAACCAGUGCUGCUCCAGACCCACGGUGCCUGGGGACAGCAGCUGCCUCCCCCCGAGCUCCGGCCUGGCACGUCGGGGCGGCAGCACCCCGUGCCAAAACAGGUUCUGGCUGAUGGCUUCCAGCGUGCUCAUUAACUUGGUGUUCUGGUUGGCUUCCUUAAUUGUGUUUUGUUUUUCUCCAUGCAUGCCAGGCUGGUCCUGCCCUUGUUCUUGGAGCUCCAAACCUGGGGGUCUCCGGCAGAGGUUGGGGAUGGAUGGGGCAUCCUCUGUGCUAUGGGGAUGCUGUGGGUGCUGCAGUGAUGCAACAAUGCCAUGGUGAUGCUGUGGCAAUGCUGUGGUGAAGCUGCAGGUGCUUUGGCAGUGCUGCAGCAAUGCUGUGAGUGUUGGGGUGAUACUGUGGCAACACUGUGGCGAUGCCUUGGCCAGGGGAGCUGAGAACACCAGUUCAUGGCCACUCCUGGUGCCUCACUGAGUGCUGCAGGAUAAUCCAUAUCAGCAAACCGACCCCAAAAACCAGCUCACCUGCCAGCGCCGAGGCCAGCUCCGGAAAAAUAAAUACCCCCUUGGCGUGUUUGUGGCAUUGGUUUCUUACUGCAAACACAAGGCUGGAUGGGAAAGGAAGGGAGGACUGAGUUGGUGCUGUUGAAUGCAGAGCUUGUGUGGCUGCACCGGCGUCUCUGACAGCAUAAUCUCCUGCUUGGUGUCAUCAUUAUGGAAACAAGCUGUAAAUCUCCCCUUGAUGUUAUGUAGAUCCGGGAUCGCUUGCCUCUCGGGAACAGCCACUGUUAAGAAAUAGGGUGUUGAACAUAAAGAUUGCAAGCACUAAUUUUGGGAAGGAGCUGCCUUAGCACCAAGAGCCACUGGUGAUGCUGGGGCUCAGCAUGGGGUUGGCUCCCAGCUCUGGGCGCUCCCCACACCAAAUCCUCUUUUCCCCUUCUCAUCCCCUUGCAGAGCCAUAGAGCAGCAGGAGGGGAGAAUAGUGCAGAGCUGGGAGGGGGGCCGGGCAGCACAAGCUGCUGUUUGGAUAUUUUCAUCUCCGUUUUGCUGACCCACGGACACCUUUGCUCCCAGCCCUGUCAUUUUCACACCUGCUCCCAUUUAAUUCUGCACAUCCCAGCCAGCUCUGCGGGUCGCUGCGUUUCGGGCUCUCCUGCUCCCUGUGCCUCCACUCACCCUCCAUGAGCCCUUUAAUCUCUGGGAAUUUACUUUUUUUUCCCUCUGACAUCUCUGAGUCUCUUGUGAAAUGCAAAUUAAUUAGAUUCUAAUUACUCACUGUGUGCUGUUUCUGUUUCACUCUCUUGUUAGGUUAGUCUAACAUCUUUGUUGUCAGCUGUAUGUUGUAUGUAUUCAGCCCAUUAAAAGUGAUCCUUGUUCAGCGGGAGACAGGCAGAGCAAAGAGACAGUUCCCCCCUCCCGCUGGGGCUUUGUCAGGAGCAGCUUUGUCAGCACUUCCCGGCAGCAUCGCAAAGGCAAACCUUGCCUUUUUUCCUUCCAAUUGUUCAUUUUCCCUCCGUGUGCGUGUGUGUUUUUGUUAUUAUUUUUUUUAAUAACCUUGUGAGUUCAGCACUUCAGUGCAGAAUUUCAGCAGCAUCCAUUGACCCCAGUGACUCACCA
ensembl:lncRNA